rnacentral:rRNA from 1 species
UACGAAGGGGGCUAGCGUUGCUCGGAAUCACUGGGCGUAAAGCGCACGUAGGCUGAUUGUUAAGUCAGGGGUGAAAUCCUGGAGCUCAACUCCAGAACUGCCUUUGAUACUGCCGUGCUUGAGGACUGGAGAGGAGACUGGAAUUUACGGUGUAGCGGUGAAAUGCGUAGAUAUCGUAAGGAAGACCAGUGGCGAAGGCGGGUCUCUGGACAGUUCCUGACGCUGAGGCACGAAGGUCAGGGGAGCAAACGGG